UACGUAGGGUGCAAGCGUUGUCCGGAAUUAUUGGGCGUAAAGAGCUCGUAGGCGGUCUGUCGCGUCUGCUGUGAAAAACUCAGGGCUUAACCCCUGAGCUUGCAGUGGGGUACGGGCAGACUAGAGUGCGGUAGGGGAGACUGGAAUUCCUGGUGUAGCGGUGAAAUGCGCAGAUAUCAGGAGGAACACCGGUGGCGAAGGCGGGUCUCUGGGCCAAUACUGACGCUGGAGGAGCGAAA
rnacentral:rRNA from 1 species